rnacentral:rRNA from 1 species
AUUGAACGCUGGCGGCAUGCCUUACACAUGCAAGUCGAACGGUAACAGGUUAAGCUGACGAGUGGCGAACGGGUGAGUAAUAUAUCGGAACGUGCCCAGUAGUGGGGGAUAGCCCGGCGAAAGCCGGAUUAAUACCGCAUACGACCUACGGGUGAAAGGGGGGGAUCGCAAGACCUCUCGCUAUUGGAGCGGCCGAUAUCAGAUUAGGUAGUUGGUGGGGUAAAGGCCUACCAAGCCUGCGAUCUGUAGUUGGUCUGAGAGGACGACCAGCCACACUGGGACUGAGACACGGCCCAGACUCCUACGGGAGGCAGCAGUGGGGAAUUUUGGACAAUGGGCGCAAGCCUGAUCCAGCAAUGCCGCGUGCAGGAAGAAGGCCUUCGGGUUGUAAACUGCUUUUGUCAGGGAAGAAAUCCUCUGGGUUAAUACCUCGGGGGGAUGACGGUACCUGAAGAAUAAGCACCGGCUAACUACGUGCCAGCCGCCGCAGUAAUAC